UACGAGGGGUGCAAGCGUUAUCCGGAAUUAUUGGGCGUAAAGAGUUCGUAGGUGGUUUAUCAAGUUAGAUGUUAAAUUCUGAAGCUCAACUUCAGGCUUGUAUCUAAAACUGGUAGACUAGAGAUUCACAGAGGUACGUGGAAUUCUGUGUGUAGGGGUUUAAAUCCGUAGAUACACAGAGGAACACCAAAAGCGAAGGCAGCGUACUGGGUGAAUUCUGACACUGAGGAACGAAAGCGUGGGUAGCAAACAGGAUUAGAAACCCCGGU
rnacentral:rRNA from 1 species